AAGGUCGGCGUUGCCAAAUCGGAAGUGCCUCUGUUAUCUUCCCUUCCAUUUCUGCAAAUAGUUCCGUGAACCAGAACGUUCCAAGUGAAAGAUGGCCGGGAAUUCGAUCUUGCUGGCUGCUCUCUCUGUCCUCUCUGCCUGUCAGCAAAGUUAUUUUGCUUUGCAGGUAGGAAAGGCGAGAUCAAAAUACAAAGUUACACCCCCAGCGGUCUCUGGAUCACCAGAGUUUGAGAGAAUGUUUCGUGCACAACAAAACUGUGUGGAGUUUUACCCAAUAUUUAUGAUUACAUUGUGGAUGGCUGGAUGGUAUUUCAACCAAGUUUUUGCUACUUGUCUGGGUCUGGUGUACAUAUAUGCCCGUCACCAAUAUUUCUGGGGAUACUCAGAAGCUGCUAAAAAAAGGAUCACUGGCUUCCGGUUGAGUCUUGGGGUUUUGGCCCUGUUGACCAUCCUAGGCGCUGUGGGAAUUGCAAAUAGCUUUCUAGAUGAAUACCUGGACAUCAAUGUGGCCAAGAAACUGAGGCACUUCUAACAUUCUCCCCUCCCUUUGCGCAAAUGCUUGCAGAAGAUGUUUCCACUCUAAAGGAUUGGAAGUAGAUGAGGUGUGGCCAAAAAUGUCAUUAAUAAGGAAAAAAUCAAGUCAUUUGCUUUUUUUUUAUCCUUUUUCUCUAGAUACAAUCUUUCUUGAAAAGAAUGGUUAAAGGCAGAAAGAGCUCCUUUAAUGCUUUUGAAUGUUCCUUAACUUUCCACAAUAAAAUACCUGCUUCUCACAUGGCAGAUGCCUCGUGACUUCUUGGAAAGAUGUUUAUUCUCUCCCUCCUUCUUCCCCCAGUAUACAGUUGCAGCACUGGGAUUUUAUAAAGGUCAACACGAUUAUAAAUAAGAAAUCACUUUAAAGGAGAAAGGUAUUCCAUCCAUCCAGUUCAGUAAAUAAAAAGAUGUGGUUUUGACUAAUCAGGACAAGGAAGAGUACUCAACACUUCUCAGACUUCAUGUUUUUAUUCUGUUGUCAGCCUUCCUAUCCCCACCUGUGAAUCAGUUCAUUUUUGAUCUCAUGUCGCUCAGCUCAUGUCACUGGGACAAAGCCCAGUGUCAAAUUGUUUUCUAAAAUGGUGUUAUUUUUCAGCCGGUCUGGAAGCACAGCCCACCAUGGGUAGGGUUGGCCUCUUCUUCCAUAGUCAAGAUCAUUCUUUCUCUGGGUUUGUACACAUUAAAACUCACCUUUCCUUUGGCUCUAUUUUUGAUAAUGACUUUAUUCUGUUCUUGUGGCCUCUUUUUCUGCUUCACCCAGACAGUUUUGAAACGUGUUGCUUUACCAUGCUUUUUAUUUAUUUUAUUUUUUUGGCACACGGGCUUAGUUGCUCUGCGGCAUGUGGGAUCUUCCUGGAGCUGGGAUCGAACCCGUGACCUCUGCAUUGGCAGGUGGAUUCUUAACCACUGCGCCACCUAGGAAGCCCUACCAUGCUUUUUGAAGUUUGAUGGAAAGCCUUAGGUCAGGGGUGGAUUCACGUGUGUGUGAUUGGUUGAUGAAGGGCUCCCAGGAGGGGAAACUGAGGAAGUCAGGGAAACAGGGCAGAAAAUGGCAGGAAGCCACACGAGGACCUUCUGCUAAAGUCCCAGCCUCUGCCUCAUCCUGCAGGGGACCUUGGAGCAGAACUGCUAUCUCAGGGUUUGUCCAGGCGAGUUAACUGGGUUCUCACACCCCUGCACCGCAGGUCACUGCUAACGUCAGUCUAGAGGGAUGUGAACUUCUAAGCAUGUUCAACUCUGUGGGUGGUGCUGGAUAAGCCAGGCCAUCCUCCAAAGAGAUGCAGCUGGGCUGGUAGAAGAAGGCACAUGUGGUGUGUGUGCACACGUGUGUGUGUGUGUGUGUGUGUGUGUAGCGAUAGUGUCCAUUACAGGGGGUAAGGCCCAUUGUUACUUCCCGCCCAAUAUAUUCCUUGAGUUUUCUUCCUUUUUAUUUAUUAUUUUUUAAGCUCUUUAUUGGAAUAUAAUUGCUUUACACUGUUGUGCCAGUUUCUGCUGUACAACAAAGUGAAUCAGCUGUAUUUAUACAUAUACCCCCAUAUCCCCUCCCUCCUGUGACUCCCUCCCACCUUCCCUAUCCCAGCCCUCUAAGUCAUCACCCAUCAUCAAGUCGGUCUCCCUAUGUUAUGAAGCAACUUCCCACUAGCUAUUUUACAUUUUGUAUUGUAUCUUCCUUUUUAAAUAAAAAGUUUACUAUCAGUUUUCCAAGUUCUCUGAGUGAACCACGUGGAAUUUGAAUUGUUACGGUUCUGAGUCUACAAAUGGAUUCAGUAUGUUCCUUUCAUAGAUGACUCUCUUCUUUUACCUUUGCCGCAUCCCCCAGAGUACAAAUUUAGAACGUUUUAAUAGCGUGGUGGAAUUUAAAAGGCUGGGAAUGACUGAUUGAUCUCCACUGUUACUUAAAUGUUUAGAUAAUGAUAUCAAAAUUUUGAGACAAGAACUGCAGUUAAUCAAUUAAAA